UUCUCCGAUGAUGAUGAAAAAAUUACUUUCGUUCUUCUGAAGUUCACACUGUGGAAGAACAAUUUGGAGACCUGAACUGAGGAGAU
rnacentral:snoRNA from 1 species